rnacentral:rRNA from 1 species
CCUACGGGGGGCAGCAGUGGGGAAUAUUGCACAAUGGGGGGAACCCUGAUCCAGCCAUGCCGCGUGUGUGAAGAAGGCCCUCGGGUUGUAAAGCACUUUCAGUGAGGAAGAACGCCUGGUGGUUAAUACCCAUCAGGAAAGACAUCACUCACAGAAGAAGCACCGGCUAACUCCGUGCCAGCAGCCGCGGUAAUACGGAGGGUGCGAGCGUUGAUCGGAAUUACUGGGCGUAAAGCGCGCGUAGGUGGCUUGAUAAGCCGGUUGUGAAAGCCCCGGGCUCAACCUGGGAACGGCAUCCGGAACUGUCAAGCUAGAGUGCAGGAGAGGAAGGUAGAAUUCCCGGUGUAGCGGUGAAAUGCGUAGAGAUCGGGAGGAAUACCAGUGGCGAAGGCGGCCUUCUGGACUGACACUGACGCUGAGGUGCGAAAGCGUGGGUAGCAAACAGGAUUAGAUACCCUAGUAGUC